rnacentral:rRNA from 1 species
AGCGAACGCUGGCGGCAGGCUUAACACAUGCAAGUCGAGCGGGCGUAGCAAUACGUCAGCGGCAGACGGGUGAGUAACGCGUGGGAACGUACCUUUUGGUUCGGAACAACACAGGGAAACUUGUGCUAAUACCGGAUAAGCCCUUACGGGGAAAGAUUUAUCGCCGAAAGAUCGGCCCGCGUCUGAUUAGCUAGUUGGUAGGGUAAUGGCCUACCAAGGCGACGAUCAGUAGCUGGUCUGAGAGGAUGAUCAGCCACAUUGGGACUGAGACACGGCCCAAACUCCUACGGGAGGCAGCAGUGGGGAAUAUUGGACAAUGGGGGCAACCCUGAUCCAGCCAUGCCGCGUGAGUGAUGAAGCCCUAGGGUUGUAAAGGCUCUUUUGUGCGGGAAGAUAAUGACGGUACCGCAAGAAUAAGCCCCGGCUAACUUCGUGCCAGCAGCCGCGGUAAU